GUACCGUGAGGGAAAGGUGAAAAGCACCCCGACAAGGGGAGUGAAAUAGUACCUGAAACUGGAUGCCUACAAACUGUCGGAGCCCGCAAGGGUGACGGCGUACCUUUUGUAUAAUGGGUCAGCGACUUAAUUUAUGUAGCGAGCUUAACCGAAUAGGGGAGGCGCAGGGAAACCGAGUCUUAAUAGGGCGACUAGUUGCAUGGAUUAGACCCGAAACCUGGCGAUCUAUCCAUGGUCAGGGUGAAGGUGAGGUAACACUUACUGGAGGCCCGAACUCACGUAUGUUGAAAAAUGCGGAGAUGAACUGUGGAUCGGAGUGAAAGGCUAAUCAAGCCAGGAGAUAGCUGGUUCUCCUCGAAAGCUAUUUAGGUAGCGCCUCGUAUCUCACUCUCGGGGGUAGAGCACUGUUUGGGCUAGGGGGUCAUCCCGACUUACCAACCCUUUGCAAACUCCGAAUACCCAUGAGUGCUAUCCGGGAGACACACGGCGGGUGCUAACGUCCGUCGUG
rnacentral:rRNA from 1 species